AAAGCUGUAACAAAUAAGAAAAAAAUUAGGUCAUGGAGAUGGGAGAAGUUGGAAUUAUCAUGGAAGCUGGGAUGUCUGGAUCAUGUUAAGAAGUUCUAUUCUGAUUGGGAAACCCAAAAUCCUUAAGAAUCCAAAUUAAAAUCAGUCUCUAACUCUUCCAUAGUGAUCUAUUUAAAGGCCCUCAAACCCUUUGAUUUGUCUCACCGAAAGAUCACGAGUUCAGUGCCCUUUUCCCC
rnacentral:lncRNA from 1 species